CAUCUACUCCCUCCAUUCGGAAUUACUUGUCACAAAAAUGGAUGUAUCUACAACUAAAAUACAUCUAGAUACAUUCAUUUCUUGGAUGAGUAAUUCCGAACGGAGGGAGUAUGUC
rnacentral:pre_miRNA from 1 species